AUACUUUGUUCUUUUAAAAUUCUCAUUACCUGCACUUAUUUAGUGUGUGUGUGUGUGUGUGUGUGUGUGUGUGUUGUCUAGUUACUGAAUCAUUCAGGGGAUACUUCACAAACAUUCAGUGAUAUUCUACGUUGUGAUUGUAUCUAUUCUUACUCUUGACUUUGUCAACUCUCUGUAUGAAUGAGACUUUAUGUAAAACUGAGCAUCUACACUGUGACUUCACUGGGGAAGUGUGGUACUUAUUUGGCCUCAUUCAUUAUCAUGACUGUGCUAAUGUGCUGUCUGCCCUUCACUGCCUUCAGUGACUGAGGAGAGGAGAUGAGGUAAUGGUGAGGGUGGUACUUUGCUUGGAGAAGCCCCAGUUACCAACACUGUCACAUCUUGGCUCGUUAAGGAAUGUCACUCCUCAGGUACACUGGCAGCCUGCUUCACGGUGCUCCCUUCCCUGGAUCCCUCAGGGGAGAAAGUUAGGACAUCUACUAUCAAUAAUACCAACAGCCAAUGAGAAGCUAGCAAACCCGUAAACAGGCCACAGCUUUGAUAUUAUUUAUUUAUAUGUUCACCCAAAUAAAUAUGUGGAUAGCCUGUGUCUUAAGUCAAGAAUGACUAUACAAUGACAAAGACAAUUUCUCCAAAUUAAUAAUGGGGGACAUCAUAUAUUGUGAUCCACAUAGAAGUAGGAUGGGACACUAACAUCCAAUCUGCUUGGUACUUAUAUUCCCCUUGUAAGGGGAAUGUGUGCUAAAAUUAAAUAUCAGGACCUAAAGGCUCAUGGUUGUCUUAAAUUUUACUGCACCAUGCAUGUUACAUGCGUGUGGGUACACUGUGUGUUUCUCUCUCAGGUUGCCAUAUGCCUACUUUUGCUUACUGUCUGCAUCUCUUCGUGUUCUUUCUCCUUGACGGAGACUCCCAUGAACUGUCUUGUCUUAGUGAGCAUGUUCAUUGUGUGAGGAAGACACCAGUUGUGACAUUUUUUUUUUAUUAUUAUUCAUGGCACUGAUGCACAAAACUGAGGGAUUUUCCCCAAAUCCCCAGACAAUUCUUGCUCCUGACUUGGAAGACCCGAGGAACACGGCACUUUUCUCCCAGGCCUACUGUGCUACUUUAUGGAAAGCAGUUUCUUGUGAGUAGGGUUUACAGACAAUUCCACUCUUGUGAGAACCGUCACCAAGCUUGGAAAAGUCUAGUUCAUGACAGUCCUCACCACAUCUCUUGGCCUCUACCCCAAAAGUCACCCUCAGACCACCAGAGUGGAGACAGGCAAGUUUUCAUUCCCUCUGUCCCCACGAGGCAUGGAUCUGUGGUUGGGACGGAAACAGAAUUCACCACUAACAGGACUGGCUUGGACAUUAUUUCUUUCUCUAUUUUUUGUUGUUGUUUGGUUGUUUAUUUGUUUUUGAACUGAAGCAGAUAUACAGAGAGUUGCCAAACUGGCCUCUUCCAAAACUUGGAAACAUAUAUGGCUUUUACUGUACCAUACGUCUUUUCCAUAUCCGUGCCUGCCAUGAACCCAAUCCAUUGUACCUGAUGUCAUCUUCCACAGAACGUGUGGAAUUUUCCAGAAAAAAAAAUGCAUGUGUCAGUCGGCGUCCCUUCAAUUCGCAAUGCAAACGUAUUGGUGUAUGUAGCUAUUCAUCGUCAAACGGAUGCAAAGACCUCUUCCUCCCGGUUACUGCUCAGCUUAGGGUGGCUUACAUAGGCGUGACGUGUCAGUGGAAUACUCCAGUAUCCAACACAGUCAUUCUGAAAAGAUGGAUCUGUGUGUGUGGUAUUUGGCCCUCUGACCACGGCCAGAGGCAUGGCAUGCCCAGCAUUUGUGCAGAGUAAUAACAGUGCCUCUUCCUAGCUCUCGGAUGUCCAGCGUACAGCCUCCUCUACAAAUUAAAUCAAGCCUCAUCGUUUUAUUAGAGGAGUUGAGACAGAGAUGCAGGAUCAGUCUCACUUCAGCAGCUACAAUUAGCAGUCAUUAUAGGGAAAACAAUAAAGAUUUGUAAUCUCAAUUCAAAGAAUCCCACAGCAUCCCCUGCCCUGUGCAGAGAAUGGGCUCUCUGAAACUCUUGUUUUUAACGCCGUAUUUGAUGAGGCAGG
rnacentral:lncRNA from 1 species